AUUGAACGCUGGCGGCAUGCCUUACACAUGCAAGUCGAACGGCAGCGGGGACUUCGGUCCGCCGGCGAGUGGCGAACGGGUGAGUAAUGUAUCGGAACGUACCUUUCAGUGGGGGAUAACGUAGCGAAAGUUACGCUAAUACCGCAUAUUCUCUGAGGAGGAAAGCAGGGGACCUUCGGGCCUUGCGCUGAUGGAGCGGCCGAUAUCAGAUUAGCUAGUUGGUGGGGUAAAGGCUCACCAAGGCUACGAUCUGUAGCGGGUCUGAGAGGAUGAUCCGCCAGAAUGGGACUGAGACGCGGCCCAGACUCCUAUGGGGGGGAGAGGUGGGAAUUUUGGACAAUGGGCGAAAGCCUGAUCCAGCCAUGCCGAGUGAGUGAAGAAGGCCUUCGGGUUGUAAAGCUCUUUCGGACGGGAAGAAAUCAUGAGGGCUAAUAUCCCUUGUGGAUGACGGUACCGUAAUAAGAAGCACCGGCUAACUACGUGCCAGCCGCCGCCGUAA
rnacentral:rRNA from 1 species